rnacentral:rRNA from 1 species
GAAUGGUGGAUGCCUUGACUGGUAAAGGCGAUGAAGGACGUACUAGACUGCGAUAAGCUACGGGGAGCUGUCAAGAAGCUUUGAUCCGUAGAUUUCCGAAUGGGGCAACCCAAUGUAUAGAGAUAUACAUUACCUAUAUAGGAGCGAACGAGGGGAAUUGAAACAUCUUAGUACCCUCAGGAAAAGAAAUCAAUAGAGAUUGCGUCAGUAGCGGCGAGCGAAAGCGCAAGAGGGCAAACCCAGUGCUUGCACUGGGGGUUGUAGGACUGCAAUGUGCAAGAGCUGAGUUUAGCAGAACAUUCUGGAAAGUAUAGCCAUAGAGGGUGAUAGUCCCGUAUGCGAAAAACAAAGCUUAGCUAGCAGUAUCCUGAGUAGGGCGGGACACGAGGAAUCCUGUCUGAAUCCGGGUCGACCACGAUCCAACCCUAAAUACUAAUACCAGAUCGAUAGUGCACAAGUACCGUGAGGGAAAGGUGAAAAGAACUGAGGUGAUCAGAGUGAAAUAGAACCUGAAACCAUUUGCUUACAAUCAUUCAGAGCCCUAUGUAGCAAUACAGGGUGAUGGACUGCCUUUUGCAUAAUGAGCCUGCGAGUUGUGGUGUCUGGCAAGGUUAAGCAAACGCGAAGCCGUAGCGAAAGCGAGUCUGAAUAGGGCGCUUAGUCAGAUGCUGCAGACCCGAAACGAAGUGAUCUAUCCAUGAGCAAGUUGAAGCUAGUGUAAGAACUAGUGGAGGACUGAACCCAUAGGCGUUGAAAAGCCCCGGGAUGACUUGUGGAUAGGGGUGAAAGGCCAAUCAAACUUCGUGAUAGCUGGUUCUCUCCGAAAUAUAUUUAGGUAUAGCGUUGUGUCGUAAUAUAAGGGGGUAGAGCACUGAAUGGGCUAGGGCAUACACCAAUGUACCAAACCCUAUCAAACUCCGAAUACCUUAUAUGUAAUCACAGCAGUCAGGCGGCGAGUGAUAAAAUCCGUCGUCAAGAGGGAAACAACCCAGACUACCAGCUAAGGUCCCUAAAUCUUACUUAAGUGGAAAACGAUGUGAAGUUACUUAAACAACCAGGAGGUUGGCUUAGAAGCAGCCAUCCUUUAAAGAAAGCGUAAUAGCUCACUGGUCUAGUGAUUUUGCGCGGAAAAUAUAACGGGGCUAAAGUAAGUACCGAAGCUGUAGACUUGCACACAACUUAGAUUAUUUAAGUUUAGAAUAUGAGAAACUAAGUUAUAUGUUUAGUUAUAUUUUUACUGAUUUUUAUAGAGUAAAGAUAGAAAUAAAACUUAGUAAAAUCAGUAAAAAUAUUCUUAGACUAAAGUUAAGUAGUUUAAGUUGUGUGCAAGUGGUAGGAGAGCGUUCUAUUUGCGUCGAAGGUAUACCGGUAAGGAGUGCUGGAGCGAAUAGAAGUGAGCAUGCAGGCAUGAGUAGCGAUAAUUAAUGUGAGAAUCAUUAACGCCGUAAACCCAAGGUUUCCUACGCGAUGCUCGUCAUCGUAGGGUUAGUCGGGUCCUAAGUCGAGUCCGAAAGGGGUAGACGAUGGCAAAUUGGUUAAUAUUCCAAUACCAACAUUAGUGUGCGAUGGAAGGACGCUUAGGGCUAAGGGGGCUAGCGGAUGGAAGUGCUAGUCUAAGGUCGUAGGAGGUUAUACAGGCAAAUCCGUAUAACAAUACUCCGAGAACUGAAAGGCUUUUUGAAGUCUUCGGAUGGAUAGAAGAACCCCUGAUGCCGUCGAGCCAAGAAAAGUUUCUAAGUUUAGCUAAUGUUGCCCGUACCGUAAACCGACACAGGUGGGUGGGAUGAGUAUUCUAAGGCGCGUGGAAGAACUCUCUUUAAGGAACUCUGCAAAAUAGCACCGUAUCUUCGGUAUAAGGUGUGGUUAGCUUUGUAUUAGGAUUUACUCCGAAAGCAAGGAAACUUACAACAAAGAGUCCCUCCCGACUGUUUACCAAAAACACAGCACUCUGCUAACUCGUAAGAGGAUGUAUAGGGUGUGACGCCUGCCCGGUGCUCGAAGGUUAAUUGAUGGGGUUAGCAUUAGCGAAGCUCUUGAUCGAAGCCCGAGUAAACGGCGGCCGUAACUAUAACGGUCCUAAGGUAGCGAAAUUCCUUGUCGGUUAAAUACCGACCUGCAUGAAUGGCGUAACGAGAUGGGAGCUGUCUCAAAGAGGGAUCCAGUGAAAUUGUAGUGGAGGUGAAAAUUCCUCCUACCCGCGGCAAGACGGAAAGACCCCGUGGACCUUUACUACAGCUUGACACUGCUACUUGGAUAAGAAUGUGCAGGAUAGGUGGGAGGCUUUGAGUAUAUGACGCCAGUUGUAUAUGAGCCAUUGUUGAGAUACCACUCUUUCUUAUUUGGGUAGCUAACCAGCUUGAGUUAUCCUCAAGUGGGACAAUGUCUGGUGGGUAGUUUGACUGGGGCGGUCGCCUCCCAAAUAAUAACGGAGGCUUACAAAGGUUGGCUCAGAACGGUUGGAAAUCGUUCGUAGAGUAUAAAGGUAUAAGCCAGCUUAACUGCAAGACAUACAAGUCAAGCAGAGACGAAAGUCGGUCUUAGUGAUCCGGUGGUUCUGUGUGGAAGGGCCAUCGCUCAAAGGAUAAAAGGUACCCCGGGGAUAACAGGCUGAUCUCCCCCAAGAGCUCACAUCGACGGGGAGGUUUGGCACCUCGAUGUCGGCUCAUCGCAUCCUGGGGCUGGAGCAGGUCCCAAGGGUAUGGCUGUUCGCCAUUUAAAGCGGUACGCGAGCUGGGUUCAGAACGUCGUGAGACAGUUCGGUCCCUAUCUGCCGUGGGCGUAAGAAGAUUGAAGAGAUUUGACCCUAGUACGAGAGGACCGGGUUGAACAAACCACUGGUGUAGCUGUUGUUCUGCCAAGAGCAUCGCAGCGUAGCUAAGUUUGGAAAGGAUAAACGCUGAAAGCAUCUAAGCGUGAAGCCAACUCUAAGAUGAAUCUUCUCUAAGCUCUCUAGAAGACUACUAGUUUGAUAGGCUGGGUGUGUAAUGGAUGAAAGUCCUUUAGCUGACCAGUACUAAUAGAGCGUUUGGCUUAUCUUUAAUAAAGCAU